rnacentral:rRNA from 1 species
AACGCGAAGAACCUUACCUGGGCUCGAAAUGUAGUGGAAUCCGGUAGAAAUAUCGGCGCCUAGCAAUAGGCCGCUAUAUAGGUGCUGCAUGGCUGUCGUCAGCUCGUGUCGUGAGAUGUUGGGUUAAGUCCCGCAACGAGCGCAACCCUCAUCCCUAGUUGCCACCGGGUAAUGCCGAGCACUCUAGUGAAACCGCCCCGGAUAACGGGGAGGAAGGUGGGGAUGACGUCAAGUCCUCAUGGCCUUUAUGUCCAGGGCUACACACGUGCUACAAUGGUCGGUACAAACCGUCGCGAGACCGCAAGGUGGAGCUAAUCGGAAAAAGCCGGCCUCAGUUCGGAUUGGAGUCUGCAACUCGACUCCAUGAAGCUGGAAUCGCUAGUAAUCGCAGAUCAGAACGCUGCGGUGAAUACGUUCCCGGGCCUUGUACACACCGGCUAC